rnacentral:rRNA from 1 species
AUUGAACGCUGGCGGCAUGCUUUACACAUGCAAGUCGAACGGCAGCACGGGGGCAACCCUGGUGGCGAGUGGCGAACGGGUGAGUAACAUAUCGGAACGUGCCCGGUCGUGGGGGAUAACGUAGCGAAAGCUACGCUAAUACCGCAUACGAACUCAGGUUGAAAGCGGGGGAUCGCAAGACCUCGCGCGAUUGGAGCGGCCGAUGGCAGAUUAGGUAGUUGGUGGAGUAAAGGCCUACCAAGCCGACGAUCUGUAGCUGGGCUGAGAGGACGACCAGCCACACUGGGACUGAGACACGGCCCAGAAUGCUACGGUAGGAAGCAGUGUGGAAAUUUGGACAAUGGGCGAAAGCCUGAUCCAGUCAUUCCGCGUGCAGGAUGAAGGACCUCGGGUUGUAAACUGCUUUUGUACGGAACGAAACGGUGCUGGUUAAUACCCGUCGCUAAUGACGGUACCGUAAGAAGAAGCACCGGCUAACUACGUGCCAGCCGCCGCCGUAA